rnacentral:lncRNA from 1 species
GAUAGGGAGGUGAACUGGACGGUGAAGGGGGCCCUCCUCGCAUGGGUCCUGCUGAGAGGAGGGCUGGGCCAGAGGGAUGUCCGGGGCCAGGCAGGGAGGAGCCGGCCACACCACAGUUGGGGAUUUAUCGUUAUGGAGGUGCGGGAGAUUGUUGUAGGAAAAGGUAUGAUCGAGGGGAAAGACGGGAGGGAAACGCUGCAAACCCAAGAGGCCAAAGACACAGGCCGGUGGGGGUCUUUCUGUUCCGCUUGCAACUCACCCCCACCCCCCGGUAGAAGCACUGUUUUUGUUUUAUUGUUUUGAAAUUUUCAAUGUUGGAUGAUAAAAGCUGUCAACGUGGUGAUACUCCUUCUUGGCAUUUCCUAGAGUAGACAGUAAGGGCAGGCAUCUCUUUCUGAGCACACGUCCAGCUCAGGGUUUAAGGGGCUCUUUGCAUGAGUGUGGCAAGGGGGCCUGUAACUUCGCGUCACAGCUGAAUACUCUCAAGGCGAUUUGGAGGUCGUCCCUGUGGCACAGAGUUGGAGCACAGUUGCAAAAAGCUUUGGUGAGACUUCUGGGGAUGCACUUGUAGGUUCCAUGGUUAGCUCCAUGCUUCUUUCAACUCAGAAGGUUGUUUCUCCAAAAUCACACUGAUGAAAUGUUUUAUGGAGAAGUAAAUGGGGGAUGCAUUGGAGCUGGGAGUGGAUUAGGUUGAUAAUAAAAAAAAACAAGGAUGGAAGGAAACUUAGAAGAUCAUCUAGUUCUCUGUUUAUCUCUCUUGUCCUUGAAUGGUGGGAUUGAGGGAGCUUUAUUAUGGGGGAAAUGGUAUGUGACACAAUGGAGGAUAUUUGGGGCAGUUUAGGGUACUCAAAUUGGAUGGUGAUGUCACUAUGUGGUACUGAAGAUGACUGUAUGUAGGAAAGAAAUUUGGAAGAUUCCACUUGGGAUUAAAUGGGAUAAUCCAAUUUUGAGAAUCACUCAGAGGCUCCAAAUAGAAGUGGAAGGUUGAGGAGGAACCUGUAAAGUUUUGAGGGGAGAAGCAAAAUUAGUAGGAAACACUGGGGGAACUGUGAGGAACGGGGCUUGGUGAAUCAGAGGGACAUGGCUAUCUUGUGUCAUGGGGAUAUUGGUAGUCAGAUAUCUUUUGAUAGGAUAACUGAGGUAAUUGCCCUUGGGCUGGCUAUGGGGGACAAGAGUCACAGGCCUUGAGGCACAGAGCGUUACUAAAAUUGACUAUAGAAGGACUGCCCCUGCUAUCAGUUUUGCAGCAAGAAGUAGGCAGGUUUCUUUUUAUUCUGACCCUGAAAACAUGAAGACUGGAUUUAUCAUUGGUGGAGAAAGGGGCAGGGAUGCUGAUAUUUGGGUUAAGGACUAGUUCUUUAGAGCAAUAGGGAAGGGGUGGCUAAUUGUUAGGAUAGGGUAGAGGAAAGCUAAGGCCCUGGCGAGCUUGGCUGUUGGCAUCUGGGUUGGGCAGAGUGGAAAGGAAUUCCAGAAGAAAUGGUGGCUAUACCAAGGGCACUCAUGUGGAUCUUGCUGUUUGGAUUUGCCAGGAAAAUGUAGGGAGAGGGAGAAUCCCUUUUUUAGUGGCCUAGAUGUUCAAUGUUCUUGGAAUGUACAGGGAAUCCUGAGGAAGGGGGGGGUGUCUCUACCUUAUUCAUGAUGUAGUUCAUUAAAUAGGAAAAAAAAUAUUUAGUACAGGUGGGGAAGAUCUUCUGGUGUGAUGAGUCUGGAUUAUGAGUUUUAGGGAGGGGCUUCUUUGGGAGAAUCAGAAUGAUGUGAGAAAAGGACCAUCAGAAGGAAGGCAAAAAGAGAAGUCAGGAAGAGAGUUGGUUGUCCAGCAAAGGGGGAACAAAGGUGACCAUCACUAUACCUGUGUGAGUAGCAACUAAGGAAAAGGUAACACCUUGAAACCUUUAGGAUAAUGUUUUCCAAAAAAUAGUUUGAAGAAGCUGGGCACAGUGGUACCCAUCUGUGAUCUCAAUGACUCAGAAGGCUGAGGCAGGAGGAUCACAAGUUAGAGGUGAACCUCGGCAAUUUAGCCAAACUCUGUCUCAAAAUAAAAGGGACUGGGGAUGUGGGUUAAAUCCCCAGUACCUAAAUAAACAAAUAAAAGUAAAUAAAAAAGGGCUGGGAAUGUUCAGUAGAAAGCACCUCUGGGUUCCAUUCCCAGUACCCCCCCCCAAAAAAAAAAAAGUUCAAAGAAUGUCUCGGCUCUUUGUACUUUCAUGCUGAAAUCCCAAAGUUUGGGGCAAGAGAGGAGGAAGAUCUUGGACAGAAGUAAGGUUGGGGAGAAACUGGCAUAUAGGAGGAAAUAUAAAUAUAAUUACCCAUAAGGAAACAGAGAACUUAGAGUAUACAAGUGAAAAAAUGUUCAGUGUAAGAAAAAAAGAGGAAUAAAGUGUGAAAGACUCAGAUGUCAUUUGGAGCUGGUGUUGGAGAAUGUGAAAACUUACCUUUGGUAGCCACUUCUCUGGGAAGGCCUCGAAAGGAGAGGAGCUGGGAUCCAGGGCUUGUAAGUCUAAGCGUUCAUUAGGAAAUCUGGACUAAAGAAAGGCUACUGAAUGGGGGAAGGGAUUCACUAUCCUAAAUAGAAUGGCCUUGAAAGGAAGAGAAAAAGUGGGAAUAUACCAAUUUUUCCAGACUGCAAGUGGGAGGGAUCCUAGAUAUGAGGAGGUAAGUGAUGGAAAUUCUAGAGUGAAACAGAAUAAAGAACAGGGGCAUGAGAACCUUGGGCCAAAAUAGGGGAAUGAAGUAGAGGCACAGAGGAAAGGCUUAAUCAAGCUGGACUAGAAGACAUUUGCCAGUGGUUCAUUGAUUCUAGACUGAACUAAGUUUGGUAUGCAGUAGAAUGGCCAUAGGGAGUAGAGAGCUGCUUUUCUAGGGCUAGGCAUCCUAAGAUUCUGAGAAAGGAAUUCAUGGUUGAGUUCAGGUGGGAAAGUGAACACUAGAGGGGAAUAGAGAGAGUGCUAAGGAAAGUGAAAAUUUUGAGAUAAAAUAGGCAGGAAAGGGGAAAAGUCAAUGAUGAUUACAUUACAG